rnacentral:rRNA from 1 species
UUCGAGGCUGGCGAACACAGGCASCACAAGAUUUCAUGCUCGUGGCAAGCAAAAU